rnacentral:ncRNA from 1 species
GCGUCGUAGGUUCUCUAUUUAUAGAGAAUAAUGGGGAAUGCAGUGUAAUUCUGCAACAGCCAACUCUACUGUAAGAAGGAGUGCUUGUUCAAAUCCAUUGGGCGGUUGACAGCCUGAGAAGGGAAUAAGCGCAUUGAAUUUAAGUCAGGAGACCCGCCUAGGAUGG